GUAGGUACUCCAUUGUCUGACGGAUCUGAGAACGCUGUCUGGGCUUCGUGCCAAGGGCUGGUAUUCACACAGCAACGACGGCCUCACAGAAGAGCUGUGGGAAGCAGGAGGGCGAGCCUCUCUUAGGGUGCCACUACUAUGGAGACACAGCUGGGCUGAACAAGAUUUGCUUCAAACGACAACAAGAGAGACAGAAAGUAUCUGAUUCAACCGCUGCCCAAGCAGGCAGGCACCAGAAGAGCUAGCAGCCAAUCCGGCCAUGCUCGAAGCCAGUCCUGCAGCUCAGCCAAUCAGUGACAUCAUUGGACAUCUCUUCAGAUUGCUCAUCAUGAUAUGAAGAUGAAACUUAAUAGCAAUAACCAAUGGAUGCUUUUCUUGGAUUCAGUCCAACACUCUAGAGACCAGAUCUUCAGGAAUGUAACUGGGAUAAUUGUCCAAAUCGAAUCCCAUGCCCUGUCAUGGGAAUCUUGAGGAACCCAUUAAUGUAAAGCUGCUGCCAGAGUUCCAUGAGGAGGCAGAAUAUUCUAGAUGAUCCCUGUCUCUUCUCCAUUGAGGAAGUAGUUUCUUGCCUCUCUGUAAACUCAGUUAAUCACACCAGAAUAGGAGUCCUGUCUUAACUGAGCAAUAUACACUAUGGAGAGAUCCUUCAAAACCCGUCGGGAUGAAUAACAGAUGAAUUCAUAAACUGUUCAUCUCUGUUAUCCUGAAUGGUCACUCAGACAACAUUUUACUCAACUAUAAAGGGGAACACUUAAAGUGCAUAUGAGAAGAGAAGAGAAUGACCACAGGAGAAAAUCAUCUCAGGUAAAACGAAAAGGCACAAAUGUAGAGUGUAAUUAAUCUUAGAAUAUUAAAGAGAAAAUGAUUAUGUCUGUGUUUGGUAUAAGAAAUGGUCCUUCCCUUUAUGAAGCUACUUAUUUGGGAUUUUCACUGAUGGUUUUCCUUCAAGAGUUUACAGUAUUACUUGCCUUUGUCAACCUUUUGUUUGGUUUUGUGAUCAAUGCCCAGUGUCCAUCAUUCUGAGGACAUAUGUGUAUGUUGAUUUAUACAAUUCAGGUACAAGAUGGUUGAAUAGGAAGCUAUUUAAUGAAAAGGAAAAUAUGUUCUCAGUGGUUAUACAUUAUAAAAGGAAGUAAAAAUCUGAUAGAAAAGAAUAAGCUCAUAGUUUAUUUUUAAUCUUUUCCAUAUAUCUAGUAAGACAAUAAUGUCAAAGUAUAUUUUGUAGUAAUAAAAGCUACAGCCAGUGUUUCCUCUUUCUUUUUUUUAAACAUGAAAUGUAUAAAUAUAUAAGGAAAUACUUUUACUACAAUUGGAUGCAUGAUUGUUGAUUAUUUACUACAGUUUUAAUAAGUAGCAGAAUGAUUUGAAAAUAAAUAAUGGUGAAAAUUUGUGUAGGCCAAAUUAUCUGUAUUAAACUGGAGAAAAUACAUUCUAUUUUUAUUUAUUUCAAAACAUGCCAAAUCAUGAAGUAAUUACUAUGCAGUAUUAUUUUUCACAAUGAAGAUAUAAUUAAGAAAAGCUAAAUCAUUUUAGAUAUGAGUGCAAUGAUUAACGAUUGUACAACUUAUAAUUUUGCUUCAGAUGAGCUUAGAAUCCUAAAAAUGUACAUGUAACUGGCUUCAUGUGUGCUCACUGGCUUGCUUUCUUACAGUGUCGUAGCUGACAGAAUUAAGAAUCAUUUAUUUCAUUUCAACCUGUUGAACAGAGGAAUUAUAUCUAACUGUAUAUUUUGUUGAAAGGAUAUAGUUCUUGGGAAAUAGAUUUAAAUGUGUUUUGUUGAAAGGGAAUGUAUGCUCCUUGGUGUGAUAUAAGCGACUACAAAUAUUCCAGAAUAGCAGGAAUAACACCGAUCAUGUCAUUGAUUUUAGGGUUUUUUGAUACCAUAUCUUUUCCUCACUGCUGUAAAAGUUUAAUUUCAUCCCCACUGUAGGCACAUGUCUGUACAUCUAGAAUUUGUGGGUUUUGUGUUCUUUACCUAGUCAUCAAGACCUCAUUUGUUUAUUAAAAGCUAUAAUGUGACUAAAUCUCAAAAAUCAUUAACUGAGUUUUAUGUGAAUAAAUACAAUCACUCUAGUGCAUAUACAGUUUAAUAACUUCCUUUUAAUUGAAGACUUAUCAUACUAUAUCUGUGCCUCACAACAAUAUAAUUUGUAUGUACAUAUAUUAGGUUCUCAAUUAGGACAUUUUAACAAAGUUAAAAUAUUCACAGUUUAAAACAAAAGCAAUCUUUAAAAAAGAAAAAAUCAAGAAGAAAAGAGAGAAGU
ensembl:processed_transcript